UCAACAUCCUCACGCAGAGCACAAACCAGGUCUACUCCAUGUGCUGCAUCUACCUGGAGAAGCUGAAGACAGUGAGUUUGGUGGUGAAGCACAGUCAGAGUGCCGAAGCUCUGGUCAAACUUUAUGAAGCUAAGUUGUGCGAGGAGGAUACAAUCAAUGCUAAUAUCAAAUCUAUCGAUGGCGUCAUGAGCACUCUUAAGCAAUGGAGGUC